GAAGAUGGGGCCUCAAAGAAGUCACAGAAAUUCAAAUUUGGACAUAGGCAUCCACUCAGAUUCUCUCUGUCCUUCCCUCUGAAGUCAGAUGUAGACUCUGGGGCCAGCUGGGGAGUGUACUGAGCAGAGAUCCCACAGGCCCUAGGAAAGGACACCUUCUGCUUCUGGUAGGAAUUUGCCUGGAACUUCAGGUGCAAGCCUUCCUUGACUUCUCUCUCCGACCACGUGGAAGGACCCAGUAGGGUGGUGGGGCUGCCCUGAAGUCAAGGCUGUGUGGGGUCUGGGUUUCGGAUGACCUCGUUUUCUGUGGCUCUAUCAAGCCAUCCGUCUAGCAGAACACGUAACUGUUCUCUAAUCAUGAGGAAAACAGCAGACAUCACAAUUUGGGCGUAUUUUUAAAAAUAGUUGGCCAGUAUUUCUCAAAACUGACAAGGUCGUCAAAAACAAGGAGCGUCUGAGAAACUCUCCCAGCUAAGAGAAGCUUAAAGAAACAUAACGACUAAAUGUAACAUAGAAGCCUGGGGGAGAGAUGUGAAUGUGCAAGGAGAAGGAAAGUGCUG